UCGGCUUGGGCGGCUGGGCGCCGGUGCGCACGCGCGGGACUCAGUUCCCUCCGCGGAACCGUCGGAGCCACACUUGCAAAUUGUUUGUUUUGACCGAAUAUCAGUUAUUCCAUAAUGUAGUCUGUAAAACUCGUGGCGCCUCCGGUGCUCCUCCGGGCUUGAGGGGGUGACGGAGCCCGGGCGGAGGUCCCGGGGUCGGGGGCGGCCGCCACCCACGUUUCCCUGAUCCCGCUCAGCCCCGCCGCUGCGCUUAGCGAGCCGAAUCGAGGGUAGAGCGGGGCCCGCCGAAGCGCAGCCGUGCCAGGAAUUCCGCUUUUCCUCGGCUGUCAGCCACGCAGGAGCUCGCUGGAUGCUUGGAGAGUGCAGGAGACCCUGGAGGGGCGGGCGUUUGGAGCCGUGGUUAGGGCGCUGCCCGGGUUCCGCUCGGGGAGGGUCCCUGCUCAACGUGGGAGACCCACGCAGGGUGCGCGGCUCCUGGCCCGGCCCCAGCUGCUGCGACCAUCCAGAUGGCGAACCUGCGGAUGGAAGCUCUCCCUGUCUCUCUCUGCUGUUCCAAGGAAUAAAGAGAGAACGCCUGUCUUGAAAGCACAUGGGGCUGAAGAUGUCAACAAAACUGAGUGUCCGGGGGAACAGGCCUGGUGCUCCCUGCUGUCCUCCUCGUACUGGCCACGGCCAUGGCCACGGCCUCCCCUGUGGCCCAGGCGGAUGUGAGCUUCAAGAGUAACUGGAUGGUUUGUUUCCUGAAUCGUCCUCCUGUGAGCCCAUACUCUGCAAAGGGGAGACAGGGGCAGGGGUUUAGGUUGGCCGGGGUCGGGUUCUCCCCAGCCCCGGGCAAGCACGCCAGCUCCUCCCGCCUCGUCCUGCCAGGGGAAAGCCUCCCUGUGCACCACGGCAGCCGGCGCUUCUGCAGCCACUCUGGCAACCAAAGACACAUGUCCAGGCUGUGCUUUGAAAAUGCUCUUAAACAAGGAUUUCUGUUUUUUUUU